GGAGGGAUCGCAUAGUCUGGUCUAGUGCGCCCGCCUGCUAAGCGGGAGGGGUAACCCCCCACAUGGGUUCGAAUCCCAUUCCCUCCGCCA
rnacentral:tRNA from 1 species